ACAAGCGGUGGAGCACGUGGUUUAAUUCGAUGCAAACCGAAGAACCUUACCUGGGUUUGACAUGUACGUGGUACGGAUAUGAAAGUUGAAGGACUCCGCUUUCGGGUGGAGAGCGUACACAGGUGCUGCAUGGCUGUCGUCAGCUCGUGUCGUGAGAUGUUGGGUUAAGUCCCGUAACGAGCGCAACCCCUGCAUUCAGUUGCCAUCGGGUGAAGCCGGGCACUCUGGAAGGACUGCCAUCGACAAGAUGGAGGAAGGUGGGGACGACGUCAAGUCAUCAUGGCCCUUAUGUCCAGGGCGACACACGUGCUACAAUGGCCGGCACAACGGGAAGCGAGUUCGCGAGGACGAGCGGAUCCCUUAAAGCCGGUCGCAGUUCGGAUUGAAGUCUGCAACUCGACUUCAUGAAGCUGGAAUCGCUAGUAAUCGCAGAUCAGCCAAGCUGCGGUGAAUACGUUCCCGGGCCUU
rnacentral:rRNA from 1 species